GAUGAACGCUGGCGGCGUGCUUAACACAUGCAAGUCGAACGAAGCACUUUGGACAGAUUCUUCGGAUGAAGUCUUUGGUGACUGAGUGGCGGACGGGUGAGUAACGCGUGGGUAACCUGCCUCAUACAGGGGGAUAACAGUUAGAAAUGGCUGCUAAUACCGCAUAAGCGCACGGUGCUGCAUGGUACAGUGUGAAAAACUCCGGUGGUAUGAGAUGGACCCGCGUUGGAUUAGCUAGUUGGCAGGGUAACGGCCUACCAAGGCGACGAUCCAUAGCCGGCCUGAGAGGGUGGACGGCCACAUUGGGACUGAGACACGGCCCAGACUCCUACGGGAGGCAGCAGUGGGGAAUAUUGCACAAUGGGGGAAACCCUGAUGCAGCGACGCCGCGUGAGCGAAGAAGUAUUUCGGUAUGUAAAGCUCUAUCAGCAGGGAAGAAAAUGACGGUACCUGACUAAGAAGCCCCGGC
rnacentral:rRNA from 1 species